AAGUUCGGUAGUGGACGGUACUUGGCAAGCAAGCUCCGGUGACUUCGUCCAGCAGCCGCGGUAAUACGAGGGGAGCAAGCGUUGUCCGAAAUAACUGGGCGUAAAGGUACGUAGGCUUUUUGGUAUGUUUUCGGUGAAAGUCACAGGCUUAACUUGUGAAUUGCCGGAAAAACUGCAGAGAUUGAAUCCGAAAGGGGAAAGCAGAAUUCCUGGUGUAGCGGUGAAAUGCGUAGAUAUCAGGAGGAAUACCAGUGGCGAAGGCGGCUUUCUGGUUCGGAAUUGACGCUGAUGUACUAAAGCGUGGGUAGCAAACAGGAUUAGAUACCCUGGUAGUCCACGCCUUAAACUAUGGAUACUUGAUGUCGGGGCGUUCGGUCGACCCGGUGUCGUAGCUAACGUGUUAAGUAUCCCGCCUGGGGACUACGGUCGCAAGACUGAAACUCAAAGGAAUUGACGGGGGCCCGCACCAGCGGUGGAACAUGUGGUUUAAUUCGAUGCAACGCGAAGAACCUUACCUGGGCUUGACAUAUAUAUGGCGUAUGUAAGAAAUUAUGUAUUCUGUCUGUUUUUUCAGAUAGCAUAUAUACAGGUGAUGCAUGGCUGUCGUCAGCUCGUGUCGUGAGAUGUAGGGUUAAGUCCCUUAACGAGCGCAACCCUUGCUUUUAGUUGCCAUCAGGUAGUGCUGGGGACUCUAGAAGGACUGCCGAGGUUAACUCGGAGGAAGGUGGGGAUGACGUCAAGUCAGUAUGUCCCUUAUGUCCAGGGCUACACACGUGUUACAAUGGUCGGUACAGAGUGACGCUAAUCCACGAGGUGGCGCCAAUCACUUAAAGCCGAUCCCAGUUCGGAUUGGAGUCUGCAAUUCGACUCCAUGAAGUUGGAAUCGCUAGUAAUCGCAGAACAGCAUGCUGCGGUGAUACGUUCCCGGGCAUUGUACACACCGCCCGUCACGCCAUGGAAGUUGGGAGUACCCGAAGUUGCUGUCCAUACGUU
rnacentral:rRNA from 1 species